rnacentral:rRNA from 1 species
UACGUAGGGUGCGAGCGUUGUCCGGAAUCAUUGGGCGUAAAGAGCUCGUAGGCGGCCUGUCGCGUCGGAUGUGAAAACCCGGGGCUCAACCUCGGGCCUGCAUUCGAUACGGGCAGGCUGGAGUUCGGCAGGGGAGACUGGAAUUCCUGGUGUAGCGGUGAAAUGCGCAGAUAUCAGGAGGAACACCGGUGGCGAAGGCGGGUCUCUGGGCCGAUACUGACGCUCAGGCGCGAUAGCGUGGGGAUCAAACAGG